GGCGUGAUGGCCGAGUGGUUAAGGCGACAGGUUUAAGACAAUCAGAAAUUCUGUUGGGGAGACCCGCGCGAGGUACGACCGAUUUAUGCACAAAGUGGAAUAAGCUAGUCACUAACAUAUACAUUCAGUUCGAACCUCGCUCACGUCA